UUGCUCUUCAACGAGGAAUUCCUAGUAAGCGUGAGUCAUCAGCUCGCGUUGAUUACGUCCCUGCCCUUUGUACACACCGCCCGUCGCUACUACCGAUUGAAUGGCUUAGUGAGGUCUCCGGAUUGGCUUUGGGGAGCCGGCAACGGCAUUCUAUUGCUGAGAAGCUGAUCAAACUUGGUCAUUUAGAGGAAGUAAAAGUCGUAACAAGGUUUCCGUAGGUGAACCUGCGGAAGGAUCAUUAUCGAAUGAAUGCGGAGUCGGUUGUAGCUGGUCCCUCCCCGGGGCAUGUGCACGCCUUCUCUCUCAUCCACAAACCCCUGUGCACUCGUGAGACGGAGGCUUCGGCCCGACACCGGGCUUGGUCCCCGUCUUUAUAACACAAACUCCAUUUAUCUGAAUGUAAACCUGAUGCUAAGCAUCUAAACUAAUACAAAGUUUCAACAACGGAUCUCUUGGCUCUCGCAUCGAUGAAGAACGCAGCGAAAUGCGAUAAGUAAUGUGAAUUGCAGAAUUCAGUGAAUCAUCGAAUCUUUGAACGCACCUUGCGCUCCUUGGUAUUCCUCGGAGCAUGCCUGUUUGAGUAUCAUGAAAUCUUCAAAGCACGUCUUUUGUUAAUUCAGCUGGUGCCGCUUUGGACUUGGGGGUUUGCAGAUUCACGUCUGCUCCUCCUAAAAUCAUUAGCCGGAUCUCGGUAGACUUGGUUCCACUCGGCGUGAUAAGUAUCACUCGCUGAGGACACCCGUAAAAAAGGUGGCCAGGACCGCUGAUGAGCCGCUUCCAACCGUCUUUCGGGACAACACACUUUACGAUCUGAUCUCAAAUCAGGUAGGACUACCCGCUGAACUUAAGCAUAUCAAUAAGCGGAGGA
rnacentral:rRNA from 1 species